GGGCUCACUUUGGCAGCACAUAUACUAAAAUUGGGAAGAUAAAGAGAUAAGCAUGGCCCAUGCACAAGGAUGACACAUAAAUUUGUGAAGUGUUCCAUAUUUUU
ensembl:snRNA U6 U6 spliceosomal RNA